AUCCUGGGAGGGGAAGGGGCUGAUGGCCUGUCUUUUGGACCCUCAGAGGGAAGAGGGGGCUGCAAGCCUGGGACUCUGGGUCCAGCUCACCACCCCUCCUCCAUUUCCCAACAAGAUAACACAUAUUCAUUCAUCCUUUCAACAAAUAGCCAUUUAUCAAGCCCUGCUGGUGCCAGGCACUGUGCUGGGCUGCUAGGUCUGAAGGAGGGUUGGAGGAGGCAAAGAUGGAGAUGAACGAACGGAACAGUGAGUGAUACAAGCUUGAGAGUGUUCCCGCACUCCCUAAUAGAGCCUGACUCCCGCUUUCCCUUGGUUGCCUGGGCAACCAAUUCUCUCUUCUCGGAGCCUCAGUUUCCCCCUUUAUGGUAUUUGAGGCUGGCAAGAUGGCAGUGUAAAGGCAUCUGCCCUGCGGCUGUCGAUCUGAGUUGGAUGCCGAGGACCCUCUAAGUGGAAAGAGAGACUGAUUACUGUGGGUUGAUGUCUGACCUCCACACUUGUGCACCUGUACACACACACACGCAAACACACACACACACACAUACAAAUACAUACAAAUGUGUGGGGCUGAAAAGAUGGCUCAGUGGUUAAGAGUGUUUGCUGCUGUUCCAGAGGACCAGAGUUUGGUUCCCAGCACCCAAGUCAAGGGCUGUGCAGCCGCCUGUAAUUUCAUCUUCAACACUCUCUUCUGUCUUCUCAGAGUACACACACAGGGACACACACACACUUACAAAUACAAUAAAAUGUACCUCGUUUUUAU